AUGCCCAGUGAUUAUGAAAAGACGCGUUAUUCUGAGGAACACAACCUGCUACCAGUCUGUCUCCUCCCUUCUACUCUUGUCUUUAAUCUCCAUCUUUCUUAUCCUCCCUCCUCCUCCUCCUCCUCCUUCUCCUCCUCCUCUUCUUCCUUCAAACUGGUAGCUGGUCCGCUGACUGCGAUUAUGAGAUAUGAGGGCAU